GCCGGAGCGGCUGAGUUGGAGUGACCUCAUCCCCCCCGCCCCCCGCAGCUGCGACGGCGAGGCGGAGCGAAGUGCUGCUGCAACUUUGGAUGAACUUCUGAGCCCGAGCAGUCGAGAGGCGGACGUUGGAGUACCCAGACGAGUGUCAGUGAGGUGAAGAGACUCGAUGGUUAACGUAUACGUUCAGUCGUAUGUCUUCUUUUUAUUCAACACGGCUCCGUUCUUCGUGACCGUGGUAGCGCCCGAGCCUUUAGCCCCCGGACGGCGGCUCCGCAGUUGAACUUUUGCGAGAAGCCGAAAGGUGGAUAAAUAAAUAAAAGACCACACGGCUGGAGAGCUGGUGAGCCGCCCAGAGUGAGGGAGUACCACCAAGGAUCAACCAACUUCUAAUGAAAGACACCCAAUGUCCCCAAAAUGUGACUGAAAACCAUUGAGAAGAAAGGAAAGGCACUUCCUUUUUACUCAUCCAAGCUCCACUGCCCAUUCUUU
ensembl:lncRNA